AGCAAAAAAAGAUAUUUAGUCUCAGUGUGAGUUUAAAUUAAAAAUUUAAUACGUGAUUAUAAUGCUUCAUUUAGUUCAACAUGAUGCAGAUGUUUCAUGAGAUCACAUGACACCGCUGGUCCAAUCAGAAACACUGAACUCCGGUUAGACGAAUCAUAAAACAAUAAAAAACAACAAUAUAAAACAAACAUGAAUAAAAAUCUAAUUCCAGACAGAAACAAAAACGUUUGUCCUUCAGGUAGAGUACCACACAUCGGGGUUAGGGCACCAGUAGAUUAUUAACAUUAUUCUUCUUAUUAAUAUCUUACAAAACCAAAAACAACAGUGCAAUAAAAAGGUUUGAACGCCUCGAUCAGCGGGAGGAAGAGACGGCGGAGAAGCAGAACCAAAACGGACAGGAGGACAGGGGGACGGGAGGGACGACAGGAGGACAGGGGGACGGGAGGGACGACAGGAGGACAGGGGAAUGACAGGAGGACAGGGGGACGGGCUUCUCAAGACGAUGGAGGUGGAGAAUGGAGGAAGGAAGCUGGAGGAAGGAAAGGA